UUAUAAAUAUAACAUCUCCAAACCUGCAAUUUAUGAAAUUAACACUCCAAAAAAAUAAUACAAUAUUCAAUCAACCUCCACAACCAACUUCCUCAAAUCAACAUACCAAACAACACUCAAAUCAUUCUAAUAUUAAAAUACAAUAGUUAUCCUUAAUUUCAAAAUAUAACAAAUAAUACAAUUCGUAAUAUCCCAAAUAUCAAAAUAUUAAAUCUACAACUCCUAGCACCAUCACGUGGCCACAAUUUCAAAUCUAACUAUCAUUGCUGGGUUGACUGAUGUACCUGCAAAUCUCCUAUGGGGGAAAAAAUAUAAUAAAAAUGAGGUGAGUAUAAAAAUCAGUAAGCUCCAUGAGUGGAUAACAAUUUUUUAAAAAUAAAUUUAUUUAAAAUGAUUUAAUCUUUCUCAAAUCAAUUUCAUCAAAAUAUCAUAAGAACUUACAUAAACAUAUUCAAUUCAAAUCAAAUCAUGCACUGAAAUAACUAUAUUAUAGAAAUCUGGAUAAAAUCAAUGAAAUCAUAACACUUAUAAUAUCAAAUACUGAAUACUAAAAACUAUCAUCAAACAAGUACCAAGGGGAAUAAUCUCAUCAUACCCGGACCUCAACGGACGAGCAAUCAAGGAACCAUCAUGCCUCGGAGCUACAACGGAUAGACGGGGAAAUGUCAUCUCAUAUCUCAUAUAUCUCAACACCUGUAUCUCUGUGAUUAUCAUGCUGCAUGCAUAAGCCUCCAAAAGGCAAAAGCGCCCGAACACACGGCCCAAAGUCUUUGUGUGUGUUUAGACGGGCACCAAAGGCCUCUCAUCUAAUAUCAUCUGUAUCACUAUAUUCAUCUCAUAUAAUUUGUAUCUCUGUAUCUGAAGGGGAAAGGUACUAUCCAAUGAUUUUCCAAACAACUUUUUAUACACAUGUACAUAAACAUAUAAUCACAUUUGAAAUCUCAUUUCCUUUUUAUUUAACAUAUCUCAAAUCCACUGAAUUCUAAUAUCAUACAUUUACUAAAAAACGACAAUAAAAUCAUUAAUCAAACUCAUUCUUAAUAACAAUAAAUAUCAGCACGGAGAUAAAAAAAAAUUAAUUUUCUAGAAAAUCAUUAAAUUGAAGCAUCAAAUACUUAUUAUCAAAAUAUGUUGUACUGUAUGGUAAAAUCAGAAUAUACUAUGAAAAUUAGUUUUGUAUAUUCCACUCAUAAUGACGAUGUUCAAACUCGGUAUCAACAAUGUCCACGAGUUGAUUCUAGUUCGCGGGUCCUUGUAAUCAAGUAAACGACAUAAUUAUUUUUCCGUAAAUGUGAAAUACAACUAAUAUUACGCAUUAGAGCUCGAAACAAAUAUUCAUUCAUAAUCAACUAUUCCUGUAUGCCUCAAAUUACCAAAAUACCCAUGCAUGCCAAAAUUACCAAAAUGUCCCCGACGUCAAUACUUACCCAAUUAUCCUCGCAAUCUUAAAUUACCAAGCUAACCUCAAUUCAGAUUAUAAAAAUAACCACAAUGUAAGAAAUUAUGAAAUUACCCCUGGAGUGUAAAAUUACCAAAAUGUCCUUAAUAACGUAAAUUACUGAAUUACCCUCAAAAUCUUAAAUUACCUCACUGCCCUAAUAUGAAAUUACCAAUUUAUCCAUCAUUUCUUCAAAUUACAAUUUUACCCCAAAGUCUUGUAAAAUUACCGAAUUGACCCUGCCAGUCAACGGUGACCAGACUUAGUCAACGACGACGGGAAGCUUAGGUCUGAUAGUUCAGACCUCGGUGAGUCCAAAGGUGCCGGCGGUGACCUUACACGCGCGGUGAUGGCGGCGGAUCAUGCUCCCAAAUCCGUGAGCUUUCCGGCGGUCGUUCACGGCCAAAACGGAGGUUUCAGGUGGCGGGGUUGGUCGGAAAUGAAAGCUAGUGACGUGAGGAGUCGAACCCAACCGGUGGUGCAACCUAAUUCCGAUGAGAUUGACGAUACCGAAAACGGGUUGAGCCGCGGUCUUUCAAGCUUCGAUCGCCGGCGUGCUGGCUGCUUUCCGGUGACGAUGACAGCGACCGGAGUCGCUCAAGCUUCAAAUCGGUACCAAGCUCGGCCGGUGAGGUGGCCGGAAUCAACAGCUGGAGCCGGGUCAAGGAUGCGGCUCGGACCCGGCUAAACGGGUCAAUUUCUCUCUUACCCCUUCUCUCUCACGUGCCCCUCUCUCUUUCCUCUUUUGGAAAUUUGCUUCCCCCUUCCCAUUUAUAGAAACCAGCUUCUACUUUUUU
rnacentral:lncRNA from 1 species